AGGACGAACGCUGGCGGCGCGCCUAACACAUGCAAGUCGAGCGAUAACCAGGGGCUUGCCCUUGGGGACAGCGGCGAACGGGUGCGUAACACGUGAGCAACCUGCCCCGAAGACCGGGACAACCCGAGGAAACUCGGACUAAUACCGGAUGUCCUCACCGGAUCGCAUGGUCUGGUGAGGAAAUGGAUUCCGCUUCGGGAUGGGCUCGCGGUCUAUCAGCUUGUUGGUGGGGUAACGGCCUACCAAGGCGACGACGGAUAGCUGGUCUGAGAGGACGAUCAGCCACACUGGGACUGAGACACGGCCCAGACUCCUACGGGAGGCAGCAGUGGGGAAUCUUGCGCAAUGGGGGAAACCCUGACGCAGCGACGCCGCGUGCGGGAUGAAGGCCUUCGGGUUGUAACCGCUUUCAGCAGGGACGAAAUUGACGGUACCUGCAGAAGAAGGCCCGGCCAACUACGUGCCAGCAGCCGC
rnacentral:rRNA from 1 species